UUCGACGGCCGCCGGGGAGGCCUUGCGCCCCCGGGCCCGCGCCCGCCGAAGACCCCAACAUGAACGCUGUUCUGAAAGUAUGCAGUCUGAGUUGAUUAUCGUAAUCAGUUAAAACUUUCAACAACGGAUCUCUUGGUUCCGGCAUCGAUGAAGAACGCAGCGAAAUGCGAUAAGUAAUGUGAAUUGCAGAAUUCAGUGAAUCAUCGAGUCUUUGAACGCACAUUGCGCCCCCUGGUAUUCCGGGGGGCAUGCCUGUCCGAGCGUCAUUGCUGCCCUCAAGCACGGCUUGUGUGUUGGGCCCCCGUCCCCCUCUCCCGGGGGACGGGCCCGAAAGGCAGCGGCGGCACCGCGUCCGGUCCUCGAGCGUAUGGGGCUUUGUCACCUGCUCUGUAGGCCCGGCCGGCGCCAGCCGACACCCAACUUUAUUUUUCUAAGGUUGACCUCGGAUCAGGUAGGGAUACCCGCUGAACUUAA
rnacentral:rRNA from 1 species